UACGGGGGGGCAAGCGUUGUUCGGAAUACUGGGCGUAAAGGCUCGUAGGUGGCCAACUAAGUCAGACGUGAAAUCCCUCGGCUUAACCGGGGAACUGCGUCUGAUACUGGAUGGCUUGAGUUUGGGAGAGGGAUGCGGAAUUCCAGGUGUAGCGGUGAAAUGCGUAGAUAUCUGGAGGAACACCGGUGGCGAAGGCGGCAUCCUGGACCAACACUGACACUGAGGAGCGAAAGCCAGGGGAGCGA
rnacentral:rRNA from 1 species